rnacentral:rRNA from 1 species
AAUUUUAUUUUUGAAUAUAAAUAAUCAUCU